CAAGUCGAACGGAUCCUUCGGGAUUACUGUCGUACCGAUGAGUAACACGUGGAAUCGUGCCCUUUAGUUCGUAACGACUCGGGGAAUCUUGAGCUAAUACCCGAUGUGCCCUUCCGGGGAAUCAUUUAUCGCCAUUGGAGCAUCCCUCGUCUGAUUACCCAAUUGGUGAGGUAAAGGCUCAACUAGGCGACUAUCGGUAUCUGGUCUGACAGGAUGAUCAAUCACAUUGUGACUGAAACACAGCACAAACUCCUACGGGAGGCAGCAGUGGGGAAUCUUGCUCAAUGAGCGAAAGCCUGACACAUCCAUGCCGCGUGAAUGAUGAAGGUCUUACGAUUGUACAAGUCUUUCAACAGGGACGAUAAUGACGGUACCUGCUGAACAAGCCCCGGCUAACUUCGUGCCUACAGCCGCGGU
rnacentral:rRNA from 1 species